rnacentral:lncRNA from 1 species
AAUACUGUUGGGUUGUAUGUGUGUGUGUGAAACUGGAUUAUGUGUAGGAUUCUGUUUUAGAUGUUGCAUGAAUGCGGAAUGAAAAUUUUAUUUUGUAACGCUUUCGAAGCUAAUGUUGCAUUGCCUCGGUUGUUUUAUGAUAUAGUACUUUGUUUUUGUGUUUUUGUUUAGCUUUUUGAGUUUGUCUGUUUGUUUGUUUGUUUGUUCGUUUUUUUUUUUUUUUUUUUUUUUUUCUGAUGUUUGGAUUUGUUGUUGGACUGAUGAAAUGUGGGUUGGACUGAAGUUGUGUGCAUAAAACUAGAUUUUUAAAUUUUAUUAUUAUCAAAAACCAUUUAUUAUUUAUAAUAUUUUAUAAUUUUAAGAUAAUAUUUUUAUAAUUUAUAAUAUUUGUAAUAUUUAUUUUUA